UUUCGUAUAAUUGACACAAAUAGUUGAUUCUGCUAUUUAGAUUGGUUUUUAGUUAAUAAUUACAUGUAAAUUCUUGUGUGUUGUUUAUUAUUUCUUAAAGAAUUUAUAAAUAUACUUAUUUGCAGUUUUAAAUAUUAAUAUUUAAAGUAAUUUAGAUUUAAAUAAACUAAAAUAGAAUUAUAAAAAGGUGUGCCAGCAUAUGCGGUUAUACAUUCUAAUUCAAAUUAAUCUUUUUGAUUUAUAUUUAAAUUGUUCUAAUUAAGGUUUAAUUUAAUUUAUUAGGUGAAAUUUUUAAAUUGAGAUAUUCUUUUGGUUAAUUGAUAAUAUGAAAAUUAGUAUAUAAACUAGGAUUAGAUACCCUAUUAUUCUAAUUGUUAUUUUUAAUCUUGUGAUUAACAGUUUUGUUCUUUAAAUUAAAAGAGUUUGGCGGUAAUUUAAUCUUUUCAGAGGAACCUGUUUUGUAAUUGAUAAUCCACGUUGGAUUUUACUUUAAUUUUUAAUUUGUAUAUCUCUGUCAUUGAAUGUCUUAUAAGAGUAUUUUCUUAAAUUAAUAAUUUAAUUUAUGUCAAGUCAAGGUGCAGUUAUAUUAAAGGUUUUAAUGGGUUACAUUUAAUGUUAUUUAUUGGGAUGGUUAUUUUAAAAUAACUAUUAAAUAGGAUUUGAAAGUAAAAUUAAUUAUUUUAUUAAUUUGAUUUUGGCUCUAAAUUAUGUACACAUUGCCCGUCACUUUCACCUUUAAAGUGAGAUAAGUCGUAACAAAGUAAUUCUACUGGAAAGUGGAAUUUAAAUUCA
rnacentral:ncRNA from 1 species